AAACAAAAAGUAGCCAAAUUGGACUUUAGACCUCUUACUCUUUAAAACUGGUCAGUCGUGCAGGAGCUCUGACCUGUGCCGUGCUCUGGUCACCGAGUGACUCCUCCUUCUGCCGACCCUGUGACUUAUAGGCGGGAGACCUGAAGGGGCGGAGUCAGGCCUCCUUCUGCCGACCCUGUGACUUAUAGGCGGGAGACCUGAAGGGGCGGAGUCAGGCCUCCUUCUGCCGACCCUGUGACUUAUAGGCGGGAGACCUGAAGGGGCGGAGUCAGGCCUCCUUCUGCCGACCCUGUGACUUAUAGGCGGGAGACCUGAAGGGGCGGAGUCAGGCCUCCUUCUGCCGACCCUGUGACUUAUAGGCGGGAGACCUGAAGGGGCGGAGUCAGGCCUCCUUCUGCCGACCCUGUGACUUAUAGGCGGGAGACCUGAAGGGGUGGAGUCAGGUGCCCUCACUGAUCGUCUUCUCAGUGCUGUAGAAGGAACAGGAGAGGCCAUGAUUAGAGACAGCGCCCCCUCUUGACCUGCAGUGGUAUUA